GUGAAUCAUCGAAUUUUUGAACGCAUAUUGCACUCUCUGGUAUUCCGGAGAGUAUGCCUGUUUGAGGGUCAGUUAAUAAAAAAUCGGGUUUGUUUGCUCCCUUUCGUGGUGACGUACCGGAUUUGGGUCGUCUUGCCUUUGGUUAAGUGACUUAAAAUUUUGCUUUGUUAUUUUCCGAAGUUAUUUUUUGUUGUUACGUAUUUUUA
rnacentral:misc_RNA from 1 species